UACGAAGGGGGCGAGCGUUGUUCGGAUUUACUGGGCGUAAAGGGCGCGCAGGCGGCUCAUUUUGUCAGGCGUGAAAGCCCCGGGCUUAACCUGGGAGGUGCGUUUGAUACGGAUGGGCUAGAGUUCGGGAGAGGAGAGUGGAAUUCCUGGUGUAGCGGUGAAAUGCGCAGAUAUCAGGAGGAACACCGGUGGCGAAGGCGGGUCUCUGGGCCGAUACUGACGCUGAGGAGCGAAAGCGUGGGGAGCGAACAGG
rnacentral:rRNA from 1 species